GGCCGCGUGGCUCAAUGGUAGGGCGUCAGAUUUCGGCUCUGAAGAUUGUGGGUUUCGAGUCCUACCGCGGUCG